rnacentral:rRNA from 1 species
AGCGAACGCUGGCGGCAGGCCUAACACAUGCAAGUCGAACGAAGCCUUCGGGCUUAGCGGCGGACGGGUGAGUAACACGUGAGCAACCUGCCUUGUAGAGGGGGAUAGCCUUCCGAAAGGAAGAUUAAUACCGCAUAACGAAGGAUUUUCGCAUGAAAAACCUUUUAAAAGAGAAAUCCGCUACAAGAUGGGCUCGCGGCGCAUUAGCUAGUUGGUGAGGUAACGGCUCACCAAGGCGGCGAUGCGUAGCCGACCUGGGAGGGUGGUCGGCCACGUUGGAACUGAGACACGGUCCAGACUCCUACGGGAGGCAGCAGUGGGGAAUAUUGCACAAUGGGCGAAAGCCUGAUGCAGCAACGCCGCGUGAGUGAUGAAGGCCUUCGGGUCGUAAAGCGCUGUCCUCAAGGAAGAUAAUGACGGUACUUGAGGAGGAAGCCCCGGCUAACUACGUGCCAGCAGCCGCAGUAAGAC